UUAUUCCUACGGGGGGCAGCAGUGAGGAAUAUUGGUCAAUGGGCGGUAGCCUGAACCAGCCACGUAGCGUGAAGGAUGAAGGAUCUAUGGAUUGUAAACUUCUUUUAUAAAGGAAUAAAGUGAGGCACGUGUGCCUUUUUGUAUGUACUUUAUGAAUAAGGAUCGGCUAACUCCGUGCCAGCAGCCGCGGUAAUACGUAGGAUCCGAGCGUUAUCCGGAUUUAUUGGGUUUAAAGGGAGCGUAGAUGGGUUGUUAAGUCAGUUGUGACAGUUUGCGGAUCAACCGUAAAAUUGCAAUUAAUACUG
rnacentral:rRNA from 1 species